rnacentral:tRNA from 1 species
CUGGAUAUGGUUCAGUUUGGUAGAACGCCUGAUUUGGGUUCAGGAGGUCGCAGGUUCAAAUCCUGCUAUUCAGA